CAUAGUUUCGUUGAUUUGUUGGUGUUAGUUGGACAAUCGACAAGGGGGGUCAAGGUAUUUAAUCAAGGUUGCAAAUGCGAUUGCUCAUUGCUGACAGUGCACGUUAAUUAAUUGCGUCUCAGCAUCAUUAAAUUCACGGCAACGAGAUUUGCCACGUAUUUCCGGGACGUCAAACGAUCUUAUCUCCAUUUUUUUUUCAUUUUUUUUAUACAAAAAAUUUCCUCGGACGAUGUGAGAAGAUACGUGAUUCCUUCCCCCCCUUUGUAGUUCCUUUCUUCCACCUGUAGAUAUAGUUUAUCUAUCGAAAGAAUAUACCAUUCUUUGCUUUAUUCUUGAACGUGUCCUCACGUAGCUAAUCUCAAAGGAGUCUGAAGGAGUGAUUCACACGCGGAUUUCACUAAGAAACGAAAUAGAGAGCAGGGACAAUAAAAUUUCAUUCUUCGUUGCCGGGUAAGUUUGUACGAUGGCGAGUGAUCUGUCAAGCGGCUGCACGGAGACAAUCGACAUCCUGGACGAUGAGAAGGAAGAAGGCGAGAUUUCAUUGGAGGAUGUCAGUUCGUCUGAAGAAGGUGGAAUGGGUCAUCUGACUAAUAACUACAUCGUCGGUAGGAUGCGUGCAUGCCCUGAUUGCAAAUCUUGGAGCGAUUGUGCUACCUGGUGUAACGCAACGUAUCAUCCUAAGAACCAGAGCAGGAGAGAUCCAGUCAAAGGGAAGGAAAACCGUCACCAUGUCAGAGAAACGGGAUUUGCUGCAACAAAGCACAUGGCAUCGACGUUACAAGAGAAAAAUGAUGACCUAGUACCAAUCUCUAGCGACAGCGACAUGGAAAUUGUCGGUCUCACAGAUACAUCCAAUCGAUCAAAGACUAAAGUAAAAAAGAAAAAAAGAAAGAAAAAGGAAUAUGAAUCCCUCACUAUCGAUGAAUUGAUUUCUCCGACCUCCAUCGAUAUGUUAUCGUCUAUAGCAGAAGUCAAUAAGGCGAAAAUAUAUAGGGAAGUAAGUCCAACUCAUAGAUCAAGUGGCAGAUCAAAGAUGAUCUCGAAAUCGCCAGUUCGAAGAUACAGGUCGCCAGUGAUAGCACGAUCGUCGUUUCAAUCUUCUCGAUCUCCGCUGAAUCAUUCCAGAUCUCCGAUAUUAAAGAAAUCACCGCGAAAGGUCAGAUCCCCAAAACGUAGUCUCCGUCGUCACUCACCCGUGAAAGCAGCGAAGAGACUGCCGUCGAAGUUGAGCUCGCCGCAGUUUACUCGUUCCUACGUCGAUAGGCAUGGCGAGGUGACGCGAUUGUUGAAAAAGGUGAAGCAUCUGGAUUCUAUAGGAACUCAAGCAUCAGAACCGAGCGUCAACCGUAGUAAGGAAUCGUCGUCGCUGAAGGAGAAAUUAUCGAAUAUGAAUAUACUAAACAGAGUCAGCAGCGACGACCACGUGCACCUCAAGGGAAAAUCGAAGAUUGGGUCCAAGACAGUCGACGAUGCCGACGAUGAGGACGAUCUGGCAUUGCUGCGACAAAAGGCGUUAGAGACAAAGCAGAAAAAGUCUAGUAGAUCGGAGCAAUCAGCAGAUGUAGAAUCAGAAAAGAGAUUGGCUGUGAAUAACGAUGACCAGGACGAGGAAGCUUUGCAACUUCGUAUGAUCGCUCUGCACUCAGCGAUCAUGAAGAAGCAUCAGAAUCGAGUUGAACGCGGUAUUAAGACCAAGAGACCUACUCGCAGUGAAAGUCCGUUUAGUUCGAGUUUUCUCGAUGAUAUACCUGUGCCUAGCGAUGAGCUGUUGAAAUAUGCGUCGCCACCAUGCACACCGUCACCCGAGAGCAAUCACAUUGAAGACAUGGACUUGGAUACUGACAUCGAAAGGGAGAAAGAGAAGUUGCCAUAUUCGCCGACCGAUAAGAUCACCGAGAACGUUCCUAUCGACACAGCGUUGCUUGGAAUCGAGCCAUCUGACGUAUCGUUCAUUAACGUAAACGAGAACAUCGGUAGCCCGGUCUUUGACGACGCACAGGAUGAACUUGCAACGAAUAACGUCACAUCCUAUUAUAAUGAAACUUACUUACCUUACCAAGCACUUCCAAAUAAGCCGCAAUUCUAUGCGCAUUCGCCAUCACAGUACAACGAGGCCUUUCAUUCGGAUUUAAAUGAUGUAACCGAAAAAGGUUUUGAGAAUCCUCAUGGGAACGGUGUUGUUUGUGAUCUAAUAGAUGGAAUUUGUUGUCAAGAAGGUACUUAUUCCUUAACAAAUAUGCCAGAUACGCAUGAUCUUCCAGUGACCAAGGAUCUUCUCACCCCUCCUGUCUCUUCCUAUGGCACUUUUGCUUCUUCUCUUCAGAUGCAGCAAAUCGUGGAGCAACCUGCCAAGGAUAGUAUUGUAUUUGUGAAUGUAGAUUCCACAUUUAGAAAUGAUAAACCCACCUACGAAAUGCAGACAAUCCCUCCAUUUAAUUCCGUUGCAAAUGCUCCGACAACGGCGUACGCCGCUAGAUACGCCGAGUCGAUGUCGCCGAAUGAAUCGAUGAUAACGAUCGAUGAUCUUCCGGAGGCAUCUGUGGAUCCAUUAAACUCUCCCAUUGGCGACGACAUAAAUUUACCGGCGAUGGAAUACAUUCCAAUGGAAGCAGCACCAUGUCAAGCUGCUAUAGAGAAAACAUUACAGGAACCUUUAUACAUGCAAGGUAUCCCAGAAGUUACUAAAGAUAUGAAUAAAAUACCUACGUUGAUCAACAGAAAGCUGGUACCCGCGCCAAUACUGAAAUCGAAUAAGCGGCUGCGACAAUAUUUGAAGAAGCUGCGCGAAACGCUGCCAGAGUCGCAGUCAGAGCCAGAGCCGACUUUUAAGAAUGCUGAGAUGCAACCGGUGACCGUUGUUGCCGCAAACACGAAUAGCAUUUUCAAACCUAUAAAAUUACAAGUAGUGAAAAAAUCCGCGCCUGCUUUGUCGACGCUCCCUACGUUCGACAAUUCAGUGAACGAAUCUUUAGAUACAUCAGAGGAUCAAAAAGGCUCAUCCAAGGAAGAUCAUGAAACAGUUGAGCUGGGACAGACUGAUGUCGCUACUACGUCGUCAGCGAAUGAAACUACUCUAGCUCGGAGGAAAAGGAGAAAAAAGGAGAAACGCAGAAGGAAAAAUACACGUUGGAUGAAAUGGUUUGAGAAUGAAACGAACCCAUGUUUGGAUGCUGAUGUAAAUAGAGAUACAAUUAUGAAUGCGUCUACUUUAGAUCACAUUGCAACCGAAUCUGAUCAAAGCAAGAACAAUGAUAACGCUAGUAUGCAUAAGGUUUUAAUAGAAAAUGGAGAAUUGACGAAAUUGCAAAAUAUCACUGAUACGCAAGAGUCUAUCAACUCUGGUGAUGUUUUGAUCGAAAAGAGAGACAUGGAGAAUCACACAAUACUAUUAACAUCCAUCGAAUAUUCACAAGAAGAACAAAUUAAAUCCCAUUGUUUGUCAACAAAUUCCGCGCCAGACAAUUCGAAUUCUGACACAGUUAGCAAAGCCAUCGAUACGGUUAAAAGCGUUAGUAGAAGACAAAGCAUUGACGAGGAUGAGGACGAAUUACGAGCCAUUUUAUUGGCUUCUUUAAAACGAACGAAAUCAGCAGAUAUCAACAGUCCUCCAAUUGCUCCAGCUAUUCUGAUUACAAACUCUAUUGUAACGAAUAUCCAGACAUCUGCAUUAAAUCAAGCAUUGACAGAUACCAUGCCAUCUACCAUUAACACAACAUGUACUGUGAGCAACAAUGCUCCGUUAUUACCGUCGAAGCCGUUGCCAUCGAAGCCGUCGCCGUCGAAGCCGUCGCCGUCGAAGCCGUCGCUGUCGAAGCCGUCGCCAUCGAAGUCGUCGCCGUCGAAGUUGUUGUCGAAACCAUUACCAUCGAAGCCUUUAUCGGAAACAAUAAAGAAGAAAAUUAAUGACGCAUCUAUCUCGGUGCAAAAUGGCAGGAAAAGAAGCACCAGCCUAGAUACGGUAAAGAGUCCUCCGAAAAAAAUAAUGAGAAAAGCAAUUACAAGCACGAAGGUGGUAAACAACGCUAAGAAAUAUCAAAAUAUGAUUGUGAAGAGGAGACUGAAUCUACGAAAGAUUGAUAACAAUGCGAAAACUAGCGAAAACGUAUGGUCCAACGCUAACGCUUCAAAAAUAUCGCUGCAUGCAUCUGACACUCAGCGAUUUGUGAUAAGUUUAGGUUCCGAUACGGAUACAGAGUCCGAAGGCGAAAAAAACGAGUCUGUUUCUGUCGCGGAGAAACAUCAGGCGCAUCAGGAGAUUCCCGCCGAUUUCGAAAAGAACUUGAGUAAAUUUCUGCGUGAGGUGAGAAACGAACAAGAACAGUCUGCAGCAGCUGCAGCGAAGUCACCCAGUUCGUCCACGCAAGCGACAAAGCGAGAUGUGCCGCAAACGGCUAACGGUUCAUCUAAUGUGCACACGCCACUGGCCGUGAGGCAUCUUCCUGCGUCACAGCAAGAGGAGUAUCGUCGUUUGAAGCAGGAAAUCUUGGAGCGCGAAAAGAAACUGCAGAGAAAAGUAGCAAGUAACAGUAGUAGUAGUAGUAAUAGCAGUAAUAAAUUAUCAAACACUAACGUAGCAAGCUCAUCAAUAAAAUCUUUGUCAUCGUGCGAAAAGAAAGCGCAUGUUAAACAGAAUCAAGAUAAUUUAAAAACGCCAGAGAAGAAUCCUCCUCAAGAAUCGUCAACAGAAGUUGGAAAGAAAAGCGACGACGUGACGAGAGAUAUGUCAGAAUUAAAUGUAUGUUGUAAAUCUGCUGAGAAAAAACUUUCAAUGAAUAUUGCUAAACAUACUAAUUCCACACAAAGUUUUUUGCAAACUAAAAACUGUAAGAAAGCGAUACCGAAUAAUCUCAGCAUUCGAAUUACUAACGUUACCGCUUCAAGUCAUGUCAAUGGUAGAUCGGUCGAGAAUUUGCGUGAGAAACAAUCCGUGACAGACACACAGCAACAUAGAUCUGCUUUGAGAACAUUAAGCACAGACGAGAUAAAUUGUAAAUACAUGCAAGUAAUGUUGAAGCCGAACGCAAUUGAGCGAGUCGUCACUAUAAACGACAAAUCAAUUUUGCAACAUGACAUGACAAUAAACGUCGGUCAAAAUGAAAAUCUGAUCGAGCCUAAUGUCAAUACAGAAAAUCUAGUCGAGAAAAAUCUAAAUGAUUUAGAUAGUAAUAGUAGUAAUUUUUCUACUGCAUCUACUGUAAAACUUCCAAAUUCAUUUUCGAGUGAACACGAGGAGACGAUGGAAACCACAAUGUCACUUUCUCAAUAUAAAGCAGAAUGUCAGCAAGAAAUUAAUCGUGAUGAAGUAUCAACAUCUAUACUUGCAGACAAUAAUAAUAGCAACAAUGGCUCUCAUAAAUCUGACUCAGUUACUGACGAUAAUAGUACUGCGAAUGAUAUUUGGGACACACUUAAAAAGGAUGUUAAAGCAGAAGUGGAUUUCCUGACGAGUCUUCCAGAAGCGGAACAACAGCGACAUUUGAGAGAAACUGAGCAUAAAUUAGUUGAAAAACGGUAUACGGUCUUAGAUCAUUUAGCAGAAAUGUCAGGGAAUCUUCGUCAAUGGGAUCUGGAGAAGGAAGUACAAACUACCCUGGCCAACGAAGUGAGAAAACUUAAAGAACAGUUAAAGAUAGCUGAGGAAAGAUUACAACAGCAGCGCAAUCGCGUUAAUAGCAUGGGUCCAAAAGUUUCAACAGCACGUCAAAAGAUCAAUGAUGGACGACGCGAUUGCUUUAAAUUAUCCAGAAUUUGUUCGACCCUAGGUAACCGACUCAUGGGGAAAAAUUACAAGUUGCCAGAGGCGGUAGAUCAACUUUUAAGUGAUAAACUCAAGGAGGUUGCUAAUCAUACGCGUCAGUUCACCAAGAAGAAGCGACUCCAAACUAAUGAUAUUUCUGAAAAUUCCUAUUCUAGUAUGUUACAAGAAACUUUAUCUAAAGAUAUAUGCAUUGAGGAAAAUCUGUCACAAGAACAGCCAAUGAAUGAUGAAGCUGUGAUCGUUGAGACGGAACCGAGAAAAGAUACUUGCUUGACACAAUCUAAUCAAAAUAAGAGUUUAUCGACAGAAAUCUCACUAGAUUUCUCACAAGUGAUUCCAUGCCAAUCAACAUCAGAAAGGAGAGAAAAAACUUCAGCAAAUGCAUCGAAUCAUUGUAACGAGGAACAAGUCAUAACUCUUAAUCAAGAUAAUGUGUCAUCUUCUGAACCAAAGUUAUACCAAAGUAAUCCUACAGAACAAAAUAAUGAGCACACAAAAGAAAGUAGAACGAACAAGUCUGAUCCCGCCGCAUCUUUAGAACUAAAGUCAUCAGCGACUGCUUCCUUAAGUUCAGAACAAAAUGAACAGAUUAACGAAAAAGCCUCGCCGCUACUGCCAUCGCCAUCGCCGACAACAAUAACGACGACGACAAAUACAACGAUAUAUACAACGACGACGAGGCAAAUUGCACCUUAUAUAUCGAUAUUGUCACAUUUAAAGAAACCAAGGAACAUCAACCCCCAUGGAAUUCUGUGUCCGUACGAAAUGAUGGGCAUUUGCAGGGACGAGGAUUGCCAAUACAUUCACCAGUCGAGGAAUCAAACCUGAAAUAAUAAUUACAUACUACCGAACAUAUUCAACAUGACGUAAGGUGGUUCUAAUUUCUCGUCAAAUGUGUCAAUGUGGAUCACACACUUUACAAUACAUUAAUAACAUUUCAAUUCGUAUCAUCGAUUAUCCUCUAGGAAAUAGAUAUAUCAAUAUAGGCAGGUUGUGAUGUUAUGCGGAGCUAACACUCGAAGAUCGGUAAGUUGUCUUCAUCCAUGGCAGGCUCUAGUGCAUCGACCGAAAUUAUCGUUUUGUUUCGCAAAAUUCUUACAUUUUUAUGUAAGAUCUCUAUUUUAAAACAUCGUGCUACUACGGGAUCUCGAGAGGUAUCCGUAUUUUAUUGAAAGUUCAAAUAAAAUUUCGACCAGUGUAUAUUUUUUACAAUUAUAAGAAAAAAAGUGUCUAAACUGCAAGAUCAACCAGUGUGGUAAAGAUAAAUAGAAGAAGAAUCUAUCGACCAUACUGAAAAAAAGAAGAGUUAAGAUUGAAAAGAAGAGAAAUCCAGCAAUUAUGGAUCAU